rnacentral:rRNA from 1 species
GGCAGCGCGGACUUCGGUCUGGCGGCGAGUGGCGAACGGGUGAGUAAUACAUCGGAACGUACCCUGUUGUGGGGGAUAACUAGUCGAAAGAUUAGCUAAUACCGCAUACGACCUGAGGGUGAAAGCGGGGGACCGAAAGGCCUCGCGCAGCAGGAGCGGCCGAUGUCUGAUUAGCUAGUUGGUGGGGUAAAGGCCCACCAAGGCGACGAUCAGUAGCUGGUCUGAGAGGACGAUCAGCCACACUGGGACUGAGACACGGCCCAGACUCCUACGGGAGGCAGCAGUGGGGAAUUUUGGACAAUGGGGGCAACCCUGAUCCAGCAAUGCCGCGUGUGUGAAGAAGGCCUUCGGGUUGUAAAGCACUUUUGUCCGGAAAGAAAUUGCUCUGGCUAAUACCUGGGGUAGAUGACGGUACCGGAAGAAUAAGCACCGGCUAACUACGUGCCAGCAGCCGCGGUAAUACGUAGGGUGCGAGCGUUAAUCGGAAUUACUGGGCGUAAAGCGUGCGCAGGCGGUUUUGUAAGACAGGCGUGAAAUCCCCGGGCUCAACCUGGGAAUUGCGCUUGUGACUGCAAGGCUAGAGUGCGUCAGAGGGGGGUAGAAUUCCACGUGUAGCAGUGAAAUGCGUAGAGAUGUGGAGGAAUACCGAU